rnacentral:miRNA from 1 species
UACCUCAUCAACCGGAAGGAAUUCCUUCCGGUCAAUGAGGUUGUUAUACCUCAUCAACUGGAAGGAAUUCCUUUCGGUCAAUGAGGUU